rnacentral:rRNA from 1 species
CUACGGGAGGCAGCAGUGAGGAAUAUUGGUCAAUGGACGCAAGUCUGAACCAGCCAUGCCGCGUGCAGGAUGACGGUCCUAUGGAUUGUAAACUGCUUUUCUACUAGAAGAAUAGCCAAAACGUGUUUUGGUAUGACGGUACAGUAGGAAUAAGCACCGGCUAACUCCGUGCCAGCAGCCGCGGUAAUACGGAGGGUGCAAGCGUUAUCCGGAUUCAUUGGGUUUAAAGGGUGCGUAGGCGGAAAAUUAAGUCAGUGGUGAAAUCCUACAGCUCAACUGUAGAACUGCCAUUGAUACUGGUUAUCUUGAGUGAAGUUGAAGUUGGCGGAAUGUGACAUGUAGCGGUGAAAUGCAUAGAUAUGUCACAGAACACCGAUUGCGAAGGCAGCUAACUAAACUUAAACUGACGCUGAGGCACGAAAGCGUGGGGAGCAAACGGGAUUAGAUACCCUGGUAGUCCACGCUGUAAACGAUGAUUACUCGCUGUUGGCGAUAUACAGUCAGUGGCUAAGCGAAAGCGUUAAGUAAUCCACCUGGGGAGUACGGUCGCAAGAUUGAAACUCAAAG